UAUAUAGGAAUGGAGCCUCUAAAUCCCUUAGGGGUGACUUUGAAGAAUCUCUGCCUACAACAUCAAUUCUACUAGAAACCAGAGUGUGCCCUGCUAUUCUAUGAUCGAGCUCUGAGAAAGAAACUCCUGCAGCCCCUGCAUCUGUUUCCCUGCUGCAGGAUAAACGCUCUGCUAAGAUUUAUAUGGCCACAGCCUGGGCAGGACUUCGGCUCAUGUCAACCACUCAGCCGACUCUAGUGGCCUCAUACCCACGCCAGAGCCCUGAUCUGGCCUAACAUUAGCCAGGAUCUGAAGCCUCCCUCCUGAGCCCAGCUCCAUGUGGUCAAACAUGUGCUGUAUAGGACUGGGAGCAGUACACGUGCCAAGGCUCCAGGCUUUCAUUCAGUGUGGGAAGACUAGCAAAGGUAUUAGGCCACCUAAAGGAAACUACCCUUCCCUAGUUCUAUUUAGACUCCCUUGGCCUCUCUCCCCAUCUCUAUUCUUGUUAACCAAUAGACAGACUCUGCACCAGUGUAAAUCCAGAGUCACUCAGGUUUUAGCUUUCCUAGUACUGCUUCUUGUCUGGUCAAUAGCUCAAAUUCAUCCCUGCUGUAACAGAGACUAUGAAGUUACGGCAGGAAUUAAACCUGCCUUGAAAUUUCUUACCUGCUACCAUCAGAGUUCUUGCUCAUGUGACAUUGUACACAACUGCUGGCCAGAUCCUCUGCUGGUUUAAACUGGCUUUAAUGGGGUGGUGCCACUGGACACUAGCUAAGGAUCUGACCCAAAGGUUCCAGAUCAAUGUGUCCAACCCAGGGCUUAA